GGAAAGAGAGGGAUUCGAA
rnacentral:tRNA from 1 species